rnacentral:rRNA from 1 species
UGACCUCAAAUCAGGUAGGACUACCCGCUGAACUUAAGCAUAUCAAUAAGCGGAGGAAAAGAAACUAACAAGGAUUCCCCUAGUAACUGCGAGUGAAGCGGGAAAAGCUCAAAUUUAAAAUCUGGCAGUCUUUGGCUGUCCGAGUUGUAAUCUAGAGAAGUAUUAUCCGCGCUGGACCGUGUACAAGUCUCCUGGAAUGGAGCGUCAUAGAGGGUGAGAAUCCCGUCUUUGACACGGACUGCCAGGGCUUUGUGAUGUGCUCUCGAAGAGUCGAGUUGUUUGGGAAUGCAGCUCAAAAUGGGUGGUAAAUUCCAUCUAAAGCUAAAUAUUGGCGAGAGACCGAUAGCGAACAAGUACCGUGAGGGAAAGAUGAAAAGAACUUUGGAAAGAGAGUUAAACAGUACGUGAAAUUGCUGAAAGGGAAACGCUUGAAGUCAGUCGCGUUGGCCAGGGAUCAACCUUGCUUUUUUGCUUGGCUUACUUUCUGGUUGAUGGGUCAGCAUCAAUUUUGACUGGUGGAAAAAGUUCAAGGGAAUGUGGCAUCUUCGGAUGUGUUAUAGCCUUUGUUCACAUAUAUCAGUUGGGAUUGAGGAACUCAGCACGCCGCAAGGCCGGGUUUUUAACCACGUACGUGCUUAGGAUG